AAAUUGAAGAGUUUGAUCAUGGCUCAGAUUGAACGCUGGCGGCAGGCCUAACACAUGCAAGUCGAGCGGUAGCACAGAGAGCUUGCUCUCGGGUGACGAGCGGCGGACGGGUGAGUAAUGUCUGGGAAACUGCCUGAUGGAGGGGGAUAACUACUGGAAACGGUAGCUAAUACCGCAUAAUGUCGCAAGACCAAAGUGGGGGACCUUCGGGCCUCAUGCCAUCAGAUGUGCCCAGAUGGGAUUAGCUAGUAGGUGGGGUAACGGCUCACCUAGGCGACGAUCCCUAGCUGGUCUGAGAGGAUGACCAGCCACACUGGAACUGAGACACGGUCCAGACUCCUACGGGAGGCAGCAGUGGGGAAUAUUGCACAAUGGGCGCAAGCCUGAUGCAGCCAUGCCGCGUGUGUGAAGAAGGCCUUCGGGUUGUAAAGCACUUUCAGCGGGGAGGAAGGCGAUAAGGUUAAUAACCUUGUCGAUUGACGUUACCCGCAGAAGAAGCACCGGCUAACUCCGUGCCAGCAGCCGCGGUAAUACGGAGGGUGCAAGCGUUAAUCGGAAUUACUGGGCGUAAAGCGCACGCAGGCGGUCUGUCAAGUCGGAUGUGAAAUCCCCGGGCUUAACCUGGGAACUGCAUUCGAAACUGGCAGGCUAGAGUCUUGUAGAGGGGGGUAGAAUUCCAGGUGUAGCGGUGAAAUGCGUAGAGAUCUGGAGGAAUACCGGUGGCGAAGGCGGCCCCCUGGACAAAGACUGACGCUCAGGUGCGAAAGCGUGGGGAGCAAACAGGAUUAGAUACCCUGGUAGUCCACGCCGUAAACGAUGUCGAUUUGGAGGUUGUGCCCUUGAGGCGUGGCUUCCGGAGCUAACGCGUUAAAUCGACCGCCUGGGGAGUACGGCCGCAAGGUUAAAACUCAAAUGAAUUGACGGGGGCCCGCACAAGCGGUGGAGCAUGUGGUUUAAUUCGAUGCAACGCGAAGAACCUUACCUGGUCUUGACAUCCACAGAACUUUCCAGAGAUGGAUUGGUGCCUUCGGGAACUGUGAGACAGGUGCUGCAUGGCUGUCGUCAGCUCGUGUUGUGAAAUGUUGGGUUAAGUCCCGCAACGAGCGCAACCCUUAUCCUUUGUUGCCAGCGGUUAGGCCGGGAACUCAAAGGAGACUGCCAGUGAUAAACUGGAGGAAGGUGGGGAUGACGUCAAGUCAUCAUGGCCCUUACGACCAGGGCUACACACGUGCUACAAUGGCAUAUACAAAGAGAAGCGACCUCGCGAGAGCAAGCGGACCUCAUAAAGUAUGUCGUAGUCCGGAUUGGAGUCUGCAACUCGACUCCAUGAAGUCGGAAUCGCUAGUAAUCGUAGAUCAGAAUGCUACGGUGAAUACGUUCCCGGGCCUUGUACACACCGCCCGUCACACCAUGGGAGUGGGUUGCAAAAGAAGUAGGUAGCUUAACCUUCGGGAGGGCGCUUACCACUUUGUGAUUCAUGACUGGGGUGAAGUCGUAACAAGGUAACCGUAGGGGAACCUGCGGUUGGAUCACCUCCUUA
rnacentral:rRNA from 2 species